rnacentral:rRNA from 1 species
UACGGAGGAGCAGUGGGGAAUAUUGCACAAUGGGCGCAAGCCUGAUGCAGCCAUGCCGCGUGUAUGAAGAAGGCCUUCGGGUUGUAAAGUACUUUCAGUCGUGAGGAAGGUGUUAAGGUUAAUAACCUUAGCAAUUGACGUUAGCGACAGAAGAAGCACCGGCUAACUCCGUGCCAGCAGCCGCGGUAAUACGGAGGGUGCGAGCGUUAAUCGGAAUUACUGGGCGUAAAGGGCACGCAGGCGGUUAAUUAAGUUGGAUGUGAAAUCCCCGGGCUUAACCUGGGAAUGGCAUUCAAGACUGGUUAGCUAGAGUCUUGUAGAGGGGGUAGAAUUCCAUGUGUAGCGGUGAAAUGCGUAGAGAUGUGGAGGAAUACCGGUGGCGAAGGCGGCCCCUGGACAAAGACUGACGCUCAUGUGCGAAAGCGUGGGGAGCAAACAGGGAUUAGAUACC